rnacentral:misc_RNA from 1 species
GGGGGACGGUGGAUAGGUCCCACAGAGAGCUUGGUCCUGGACGCAACGAAAUCGGACAUCGAUUCGGCCAUUCUAGAGAAAUCCCCUUGAUCCAUUGCCUCAGAUUCUUUAGGGUUCCUCACAUUGGGACCAACGAGGCGUAUGUGAGGGAGGGAAUUGACGCCAAAGAGAGAGAAGGACGAUUGGGAUUCCUUAAACUCGAUGUCGCAGAAGAAGAGUUUACCAUAGGAUGUAGAGG